AACACUUUUAUUCUUCAAACUUCACACUUACAAUCUCACAAUUCCCUUCUAAACUCAUAGUAUUCUGACUGCUUGUUUGCACUGUGGUUUUACAACACUACUGCCUUCUUCUUACUUGUUCUUGUAAGACUGGUAUGACCUAGUUUUAGUUUCAGCAUCAUCCCAAUAUGUUUACUUACAACCUUUACAUCCAUGUCUACUUUAC
rnacentral:lncRNA from 1 species